AACCUAGCACACCUGCGGUGUGUACCUGCGGAAGGAUCAUUAAUAAAUGUUACUUCGGUAACUUAAUUAAUCCCUAACACCUGUGCAUCUUGUCGCUCCGGCGUCAUUUUAUAAACAUCAGUGUAAUGAAUGUAAAGUAUUAUAACAAAUACAACUUUUAACAACGGAUCU
rnacentral:misc_RNA from 1 species